rfam:Camelus ferus unplaced genomic scaffold scaffold526, whole genome shotgun sequence.
GGAGGAUACAGCUCAGUGGUAGAGUGUAUGCUUAGCUUGCAUGAGGUCCUGGGUUAAACCCCCAGUACCUCCA